rnacentral:piRNA from 1 species
CAAAAAUCAAAAUAUAUGUGCCUA